rnacentral:rRNA from 1 species
CACGUAGGGGGCAAGCGUUGUCCGGAUUUAUUGGGCGUAAAGAGCGUGUAGGCGGCUUGGUAGGUCCGCUGUGAAAACUCGAGGCUCAACCUCGAGAUGUCGGCGGAAACCACUUGGCUAGAGUCCGGAAGAGGAGAGUGGAAUUCCCGGUGUAGCGGUGAAAUGCGCAGAUAUCGGGAAGAACACCUAUGGCGAAGGCAGCUCUCUGGGACGGUACUGACGCUGAGACGCGAAAGCGUGGGGAGCGAACAGG